GACGAACGCUGGCGGCGUGCUUAACACAUGCAAGUCGAACGGAAAGGCCCUGCUUUUGUGGGGUGCUCGAGUGGCGAACGGGUGAGUAACACGUGAGUAACCUGCCCUUGACUUUGGGAUAACUUCAGGAAACUGGGGCUAAUACCGGAUAGGAGCUCCUGCUGCAUGGUGGGGGUUGGAAAGUUUCGGCGGAUGGGGAUGGACUCGCGGCUUAUCAGCUUGUUGGUGGGGUAGUGGCUUACCAAGGCUUUGACGGGUAGCCGGCCUGAGAGGGUGACCGGCCACAUGGGGACUGAGAUACGGCCCAGACUCCUACGGGAGGCAGCAGUGGGGAAUAUUGCACAAUGGGCGGAAGCCUGAUGCAGCAACGCCGCGUGCGGGAUGACGGCCUUCGGGUUGUAAACCGCUUUCGCCUGUGACGAAGCGUGAGUGACGGUAAUGGGUAAAGAAGCACCGGCUAACUACGUG
rnacentral:rRNA from 1 species